UAGGGAAUCUUGCGCAAUGGGCGAAAGCCUGACGCAGCCAUGCCGCGUGAAUGAUGAAGGUCUUAGGAUUGUAAAAUUCUUUCAGCGGGGACGAUAAUGACGGUACCCGCAGAAGAAGCCCCGGCUAACUUCGUGCCAGCAGCCGCGGUAAUACGAAGGGGGCUAGCGUUGCUCGGAAUUACUGGGCGUAAAGGGCGCGUAGGCGGAUGUCUUAGUCAGAGGUGAAAGCCCAGGGCUCAACCUUGGAACUGCCUUUGAUACUGGACAUCUUGAGUACGGGAGAGGUGAGUGGAACUCCGAGUGUAGAGGUGAAAUUCGUAGAUAUUCGGAAGAACACCAGUGGCGAAGGCGACUCACUGGCCCGUUACUGACGCUGAGGCGCGAAAGCGUGGGGAGCAAACAGGAUUAGAUACCCCCGUAGUCC
rnacentral:rRNA from 1 species